rnacentral:rRNA from 1 species
UACAGAGGGUGCAAGUGUUAUCCGGAAUGAUUGAGCAUAAAGUGUCUGUAGGUGGCUUUUAAGUCCGCCGUCAAAUCCCAGGGCUCAACUCUGGACAGGCGUUGGAAACUACCAAACUGGAGUACGGUUGGGGCAUAGGGAAUUUCUGAAGGAGCGAUGAAAUGCGUAGAGAUCGAGAAGAACACCAAUGGUGAAAUCACUCUGUUGGGCCGACACUGACACUGAGAGAUGAAAGCUAGGGGAGCGAAUGGG